CAGCAGCCGCGGUAAUACGUAGGGUGCGAGCGUUAAUCGGAAUUACUGGGCGUAAAGCGUGCGCAGGCGGUUUUGUAAGACAGGCGUGAAAUCCCCGGGCUCAACCUGGGAAUGGCGCUUGUGACUGCAAAGCUAGAGUGCGGCAGAGGGGGAUGGAAUUCCGCGUGUAGCAGUGAAAUGCGUAGAUAUGCGGAGGAACACCGAUGGCGAAGGCAAUCCCCUGGGCCUGCACUGACGCUCAUGCACGGAAGCGUGGGGAGCAAACAGGAUUAGAUACCCCCGUAGUCCCUGUCUCUUAUAA
rnacentral:rRNA from 1 species